rnacentral:rRNA from 1 species
AAUGAACGUUGGCGGCAUGGAUUAGGCAUGCAAGUCGGGGGAAUCCCAGCAAUGGGGGAACCGGCGUAAGGGGCAGUAAGGCAUGGGUACCUACCUUGGGGUUCGGGAUAGCCAUCAGAGAUGGUGGGUAAUACCGGAUGACGUCGUUAGACCAAAGAUUUAUCGCCUUUAGAGGGGCCCAUGUGAUAUUAGCUAGUUGGUGGGGUAACGGCCCACCAAGGCGAAGAGGUCUAGCGGGUGUGAGAGCACGACCCGCGCCACUCGCACUGAGACGCUGGCGAGACACCUACGGGUGGCUGCAGGCGAGGAUCUUCGGCAAUGAGCGCAAGCUUGACCGAGCGAUGCCGCGUGAGCGAUGAAGGCCUUCGGGUUGUAAAGCUAUUGAGUGGGGGAGAAAAGCCGCAAGGUGUGAUCUAUCCCAAAAAUAAGCACGGGCUAAGUUCGUGCCAGCCGCCGCCGUAA